AAAUGUGUUGUCAGAACUAUUGUAAAGUUAUCUUGGAGGCAAUUCCUUUAAGAUUUAUAUGUUGUCUGGCAGAUGAAUAUGGGUGCAACAUGGGACCCAUGUGGGCCUACCACAAUGGUAUAUUACAACUGAAAUGGCUGUACGAGUGCUUAAUUGUUUUUGUAGGCAAGAGAAACAGGCAAUUAGUGCAGACUGUAACCGAGUCUGCAUGGCAAUGAUAUUUUUCGCGGACUGCCUUGCCGUAAAAUCAAAAUAACCGUUACGUUAUGUUUUUUUUUUCCGAAAUGUUAGAGUAAUACUGAAAUGAGGCCAACAGAUAGUUUACAGACGUAUCAGAUGAUUUCUUCUUGUCGCAAUUUGUAAAAUUAUAUAUUAUCUUGCUUUAAAUAUUAUUUAUUAAGUAUUUUGUAAUGGUUAUUGACAUUGACUUUUUUAUAUGAUAAAAAAGUGCACUCUUUAUAUGCAAUAAUAUUUUUCAUUGUUGAACUAGAAGAUGCAUUAUAUUAUAACCCAGCAGAGACUUAAAAAGUCGACAUUCAUUUUGGCCCAGCGGUUGCUGUAAACACAGUACAACUACAGCAAGAGCAAGAGCUGGGGCCUGGCGGGAACAUAACAGUUUGCGUAUUUUCCACCUACAUUAUCAAGCUACUGUGACAGCAAGUCAAAGAUUUUCAAAGCCAUCCCAGCCACUGUCCUGUCUCCCAACAAGUGCCAAGAGGCACUGAUUCAAUACUUCGCUGCCGCAGCCUAUAGGUGAAUGUUCUAGGUGAGAUUGGAGGGAUGAACACUGAUGAAUAUGUGAAGUGAGUAAUGAAGUUCAUAAUAAGUGACACACUGACCACAAAACUGAACAUGUCUUGAAGGAACAACAAGAAGGCAUUUGGCUCCACAAACUUAUUCGAGACUGUUUAGGGAGAAGUGAAAAAGAAUUCACAAACGUCAGAUUGCACGAGAAGAUGUGGAGCAUGCAGUGGCGAAGUGGUUGAUGGUGGUAAGAGAUCGCAGUGGCAAUUGCAUGUGAAGGGAUACUGGUGCAACAUUGUCUGCUAAUUAGAAGACCUAUACGUGUAAAUCUUAUGUAAAAGGAAGUUUAAUUUAUAGGUUCCUUAGUUUUGUUUACAUGUAGUAAUUAGAAUUAAGGCUUUGUUAGAGAUGAUUCUAAUCAGAAUAUAGGUAGAGAUGUAUUUCUGCCAAAGGAAUUCUGUAUUCUGUAUUACUUUUAGCUAUCUAUCUAUCUAUAGCUCUGACGCCUCGUUCCCUCCGGGAACAUCCCCCUAGGCCUAGGGCAGUGGUUCCCAACU